GGAAGACUAUUUUUUAUUGUAUCCGUUUGAUGAUAUUGCAUCCAAUUUCCGGCUUAUUCUGCAAUGGAACAUGUUUUAUGCGCGAAGAGGUGAACUGUGAACAGUCUAUAGAUCAUAAUGGAGAGUGACUUAUAACUGGUGGAUGUGAAGAGACCCAAAACAAACUGCAAUCUUGUUUGGUG